UGGUCUUAAUUGGUUCACUGUACAUUGCUCAUCUUUUCAAUGGAAGUGGUCACCAAUUUCUGUUGACAGUAUAAUUGAGAGUGGCUGGUGGCCUGGUAGCCCUGAAAAUGUUCAUUACAUAUUAAGUCAAGAUGUCUUUAAUUUGUGGGAUGCAUUUAGAAAGAGGAUGCCUAGGUCAUCACAAUCUGCUUUUGUAAGAAGUUUGGAAGAUAUUUCCAGCUCUAGAGGAAGGGAAAAUGUUAUCAAUCCAGUCACAUUCAGAAAAUUGUUUGCUGAAUGGAGCUAUUGCUAACAUGAAAUUGACCUUCUUCAUGAGCAGACAUGGAAAAAUUGCCCUCCUUGUAGCAUUGAUCAACAUUCAUGUCAUGUUGAUGGAAAUCAAAAAGUGUACAGAUUCAGCAAAGUACCAAGGGGAACAGUGUUAUUAUCGUGAUGUAUUGAUUGCAAACAACAGUUUUGUGGACUCUCAUUUAAAAGUCUUGGUUCAAAGUCAAUUCAGAACAACAAAUUGGAGUUUCUUCGUUGAAAGGUGCCGCCGAAGAGUUCUUCCUUUUGCAUCAAACUGUUGAAAAUGCUCAACAUUUGGAGAAUUUUGUAAAAGCCAACGAUGAUCAAACGCCGACAUUAUUGGGUGAUAGGCGUUCGUUCAUGACGCUCAAAACAAAGUGAAACAACUUGAACAAAAUGCAACAAGAUUGCUGGAAUUGAAAAGACAGCUUUUAGAUGGACAUGUGAGAGGGGAGCAGCUUCUUGAGCAAGGAAAGUCGUAUUAAAAAUGUUGUAUUUUUCAGUCACUAGACACAUAAAAGAAGUAAUUUCUCUUGCUGGUCAGUUUUGUUGAGGGUUUUUUUAUGAGUAACUGUAAACAUUAUUUUAAAGUUCGUAGUAAAAUCAAAGUGAGUUAGAUAUUAGAUGUAGGCGACACAAAAUGCAAAAUAUGGAACAGUUUUAUUCGAGAUAAAUUGUGCUUUAUCUAAAAGUAAACGAGUAAAUACUAUCUACGCCAUCCUGGUAGAAGUAUGUAGACUUAUAUGUCAAAGGAUUUUAUAAUGUAAAAUUGCGAUUUGUCGUUGUUACGUAUAUUAUACAUGCACGUACUGUAGAUUCUAGCAAACGAAGAUCUUCCAUGAGAAGGAAAUGCGCUGAAGAGAAGUCCAAAAUAGCAUCCACCGUAGAAGAGUUAAAUUGCCUCUCAAAUCUGUGUGGUCUUCCUACGACAAGUGCGGAAGAAGUCAUGUGUAGAGAUUUUGUUUGGUCGUUUAACCAGUGUGACAUAGAUAGUACGACUUCACAUGGUGUGGUAAAGAAAAGCAAUUACAGUGCUAUGUAUAUUGUGACGUCCAUGCUCGCUUUUAGUUUCAACGAUUUUACUUUACAAGAUUUAGAUAUACCUGUGCGUUUCAAGGCACAAAUUGUCGAUACGUACAUGGUAGUUAAAAGAUUGGAAGAGGAAAAAGCACUUCUGAACAUGGAGAUGAAAAAUUAUAUGAUUUAUUAUUUGGAAAACGUUUUGCCUCUCCUUUGUGAAAGAAAAGAAAAGAUUAAAGAUAGGAUAAGUUAAA